rnacentral:rRNA from 1 species
GUUGAAUGCUGGCGGUGCGCCUAAUACAUGCAAGUCGAACGAGACCUGUUCUGAGUUUACUUAGAAUAGUGAAAGUGGCGGACGAGCGAGUAACACGUAAGCAUCUGCCCCGUACUCAGGGAUAACUGGCCGAAAGGUCAGCUAAUACCGGAUAGUCCCGAAAGGGUAAAGAUUUAUCGGUACGGGAGGAGCUUGCGGCUUAUCAGUUUGUUGGUGGGGUAAAAGCCUACCAAGACUAUGACGAGUAGCUGGUGUGAGAGCAUGACCAGCCGCGAUGGGACUGAGACACGGCCCAUACUCCUACGGGAGGCAGCAGUAGGGAAUCUUCCGCAAUGGGCGAAAGCCUGACGGAGCGACACCGCGUGGUGGAUGACACCCUUUGGGGCGUAAACACCUUUUCUGAGGGAAGAAGAUCUGACGGUACCUCAGGAAUAAGCCUCGGCUAAUUACGUGCCAGCAGCCGCGGUAAU